rnacentral:lncRNA from 10 species
GCAACCUGUAAACAGCCCAAGAGUUAGAUAAAAUUGCUGCCUCAUUCUACUGAGAAAAAGGGCCACUGCAGGGGCCAUCCUGGAGGGAGUCACAAUGCAGGAGGACAGUGGCAAGUUCAAGAGCUACUGCAGCCGGGGAACAGCAGGACAGCAGCACGUUCAAGGGCUCUUGCAGCAGGGCAUAGCAGGGAAAGGCCUCCCUGGGUCUAACCAAUUUACUCCUAUUGAUUUUCAGAUCAGAGGGGUUCAGCUCACAAAUCAAAAGAUGGUUUUCCCUCCCUGCUGCUAAAUCUGCAGCCUCUCCCAGACACCUCACAAAUUCUGCUUUGAUCUUGAUUAGCCUGGAUGCUUCUAGGUUGGAAACUGUAUGGAGGAGGCAGAGAUCUAAAGGUAAUCUGGGCUGCACCAGUCAGCCUGGCAUGG